GUAUUAACUAGUCAGGCCUUUGGUGUUUGGGUAACCAGAUGGCUAUUUGUUAGUUAAUGGGAUUCAUGGCCCAUCUUGUUCCCACCUCUACCAUACCAGCGACUGCCGUGUAUUCACUGUAUCCAGUAUUGCCUUCCAUUUCUCCACCCCCUGUGCAGGCACUGACUCCCUUAGGGCCUUGUGUGGCCUCUUCAUUCUGUUGAUCCUUGGGCCUUGGGUGUUUGAAGUCUCGAGGCAUCAACCCGUUAACACUUUGCUCUGGCAAUAGAUGCUUCCUAAGGAACAGAGGCGGGAAAAAAACAGAAAACAGCUCUGCAGUUCACAUACAGAAAUCGAAAAAUAGGAACUAAAUGUGAUGCAGUGGAGAAGGUAACAGGCCCAUCAAGGCAGUUCAAGUAAUGUGAGGCUUAUAGGCUGGUGGUCUGAGGAAAGAGCAAUUAUUUACCCUGACUUUUUUUUUUAAUUGAGGGGGCAGAGAAUCAGGGAGGAAUUUAUGGAAGCAGUACUAUUUGAACAGGACCUUGAAAUGUUCUUUUUUUUUUUU
rnacentral:lncRNA from 1 species